rnacentral:rRNA from 1 species
GAAUUUUGGACAAUGGGCGAAAGCCUGAUCCAGCAAUGCCGCGUUCAGGAUGAAGGCCUUCGGGUUGUAAACUGCUUUUGUACGGAACGAAAAGCUUUGGGUUAAUACCCUGGAGGCAUGACGGUACCGUAAGAAUAAGCACCGGCUCACACCGUGCCACCAGCCGCGGUAAUACGUAGGGUGAAAGCGUUACUCGGAAUUACUGGGCGUAAAGCGUGCGCAGGCGGUGUUGUAAGACAGAGGUGAAAUCCCCGGGCGCAACCUGGGAACUGCCUGUGUGACUGCAAGGCUAGAGUACGGCAGAGGGGGGUGGGAUUCCGCGUGUAGCAGUGAAAUGCGUAGAUAUGCGGGGGAACACCGAUGGCGAAGGCAACCCCCUGGGCCUGUACUGACGCUCAUGCACGAAAGCGUGGGGAGCAAACA